rnacentral:rRNA from 1 species
ACGCUCGACACCUACGGGGGCAGCAGUCGGGAAUAUUGCGCAAUGGAGGAAACUCUGACGCAGUGACGCCGCGUAUAGGAAGAAGGUUUUCGGAUUGUAAACUAUUGUCGUUAGGGAAGAGAAAGGACAGUACCUAAGGAGGAAGCUCCGGCUAACUACGUGCAGCAGCCGCGGUAAUCUGAGCGGGCUGGCAAGGC